GGCUAUAUCACACUGAAACACCAGUUCUUGUACGAUCACUGAAGUUAAGCAAAGUUAAACAUGGUCAAUACUUAGAUGGGUGACUGUUUGGGAAUACCAAGUGCUGUAAG